GGCUCCGUAGCUUGAAGGAGAGAAGCGCCCGUCUUGCGAAAUGGAAAUUGUAGGUUCGAUUCCCACCGGAGCAC
rnacentral:tRNA from 1 species